rnacentral:rRNA from 1 species
GUUAAAAAGCUCGUAGUUGGAUCUCAACAGCCUUGAAGCGGUUAACUUUGUAGUUUUACUGCUUUAUAGGCUGUGCUUUUGCUGGAGGUUUAGGGGUGCUCUUGAUCGAGUGUCUCUGGAUGCCAGCAGGUUUACUUUGAAAAAAUUAGAGUGCUCAAAGCAGGCUAAAAUGCCUGAAUAUUCGUGCAUGGAAUAAUAGAAUAGGAUGUCGAUCCUAUUUUGUUGGUUUUCGGGACUCGACAUAAUGAUAAAUAGGGACAGUCGGGGGCAUUUGUAUUCAAACGACAGAGGUGAAAUUCUUGGACCGUUUGAAGACAAACUACUGCGAAAGCAUUUGCCAAGAAUGUUUUCAUUAAUCAAGAACGAAAGUUAGAGGUUCGAAGGCGAUUAGAUACCGCCCUAGUUCUAACCAUAAACGAUGCCAGCUAGCGAUCUGCCUGCGUUUUUACUGUAGACUGGGCAGGAAGCUUCCGGGAAACCAAAGCAUUUGGGUUCCAGGGGAAGUAUGGUUGCAAAGCUGAAACUUA